GAUAAAGUAGCUCAGCUGGGUUAGAGCGAUGCACUCAUAAUGCAUAGGUCGAUGGUUCGACUCCAUCCUUUGUCA
rnacentral:tRNA from 1 species